CACACCGACCCGCUCUAUAUUCCUCACAAGGCCAAUCUUCAAUUACUGUCUCAAUUUCAUCCUUCUAUUUUAAACAGUCUUUACUCAUUUCUAACAUCACCAGCUUUUAAAUUUCUCUAACUGUGUUCAGAUGUUCCUGCUUGAAAGCCAGUUGUUUUCUAUCCAGAAGAUCUUUCGUAUUGUUUGAAAUCCAUGACUUUGCUCUUUGGGAAAUCUUUAACCGGUUAGUAAGGACUGACCCUCUUAAUACAAAAGGACACAAGUUCACACAAGACCUCUGUAAGUUCAUCAAUGAUUUCCAGAGCAGCUUGAAAGACAGUGUAAUGUGUACAAUUGAAAGAACGCUGUGGGGACAAGGAACUUUCCUCUGAUCAAAACCUCCACCUUCCUUUCCUACAUCUUCUCCUCUCGUAACACUGACGUAUAAACAAAAAAACCUAUUGAAGGGCCAGCAACAGAUUUCACCGCCCCUUAAGAGAACCAUAGCAGAAGUCCACAGCUCCUUCCUCAUAGGCCUUUCCCCAUUGUCCUGGAAGUCCGUAACAGCUUGAACCAACAUAUCCGAGGAAUCAUCCACCUGAUUGUCCAAAUUCCGGUGCAACAGCUCCCGUACUUUCUAAGGAGACUGAAGAAAGCUCAACUUGCUCCUCAGAUCAUGGUGAACUUCUGUUUGUAGUACCAUUGAAAGCAUCCUUACAAACUGCAUCACAGUCUGGUACAACAACUGCACAGUGUGUGAGCAGAAGGCAUGACAAUAAUGAAACGUGGUAAUGAAAACUGGCAAACACGUCAAUGGGAAACAUCAGAUGCGAAUAAAAUCUCCAAAAUGUGCAUAAAAGUCUGAUGUACUCUAUUGAGGUGGAUAAAUUUUGAAUUCGAUAAGACGAUGUGCGCAUAAACUACAACGUUAACAAGUUUACCAAAUAAAUUCCUCAAUGGGUGUCAAAAAAGUCACGUGACUUUGCCUCAACAAUAAUGUGAUUGGAAAACUGGCUCAGAAAAGUAAAAAUGGUGGAGCGCAAGAUGUGGCAGUUUCCCCGCAAGUGUUAAUUCUUGUUCUCCUGAACACAGUGUUCUAUUUUUUUUUUUAAAUUAAAUUCGCAAUUUAGAUGGAAACAAAGUGCCUCUGUCCUCAUACUCUGACAAUGAUGAUAAAUUGAACCUAACUUAACAUAACUACUUUGAUUUUUCCAAUUCAUCAUAUUCCAGUAAGAUGUAGA